AGCUUGGUCCCCCAUUUCUGCUUUAUGGAAUUUAUUUCUGAUUGUUUGAUUGAAUAGUCAACAAUUUAAGUUCGGUUCUCUUGGUUCUGGGAUCGAUGAAAAACGCAGCGUAAUGCAUUUUUGAGGUGAAUUGCAGAAUUCAGUGAAUCAUCAAAUCUUUGAACGCAAAUUGCGCCCGCCAGCAUUCUGCCGGGCAUGCCCGUUCAAGCGUGGUUUCAACCCUCAAGCUCUGCUUGGUGUUGGGGCCCUACACCUGAUGUAAGCCCUCAAAGGUAGUGGCGGACCCUCCCGGAGCCUCCUUUGCGUAUUAACUUUACGUCUCGCACUGGGAUCCGGAGGGACUCUUGCCGUAAAACCCCCCAAUUUUCCAAAGGUUGACCUCGGAUCAGGUAGGAAUACCCGCUGAACUUAAGCAUAUCA
rnacentral:misc_RNA from 1 species